rnacentral:rRNA from 1 species
GAUUUCGUUCCCUUCGGGACCUAGUGACAGGUGCCGCAUGGCUGUCGUCAGCUCGUGUCGUGAGAUGUUGGGUUAAGUCCCGCAACGAGCGCAACCCUCGUCCUUAGUUGCCAUCAUUAAGUUGGGCACUUUAAGGAAACUGCCGGUGAUAAGCCGGAGGAAGGUGGGGAUGACGUCAAGUCCUCAUGGCCCUUACAGGCUGGGCUACACACGUGCUACAAUGGCAUCUACAGUGGGCAGCUAUUCCGCAAGGAUGCGCUAAUCUCCAAAAGAUGUCUCAGUUCGGAUUGUCCUCUGCAACUCGAGGGCAUGAAGGCGGAAUCGCUAGUAAUCGCGGAUCAGCAUGCCGCGGUGAAUACGUUCCCAGGCCUU